UACGGGGGGGGCAAGCGUUGUUCGGAAUUACUGGGCGUAAAGGGCUCGUAGGCGGCCAACUAAGUCGGAUGUGAAAUCCCCAGGCUUAACCUGGGAACUGCAUCCGAUACUGGAUGGCUUGAAUCCGGGAGAGGGAUGCGGAAUUCCAGGUGUAGCGGUGAAAUGCGUAGAUAUCUGGAGGAACACCGGUGGCGAAGGCGGCAUCCUGGACCGACACUGACGCUGAGGAGCGAAAGCCAGGGGAGCGAACGGG
rnacentral:rRNA from 1 species